GACGAACGCUGGCGGCGUGCUUAACACAUGCAAGUCGAACGGAAAGGCCCUGCUUUUGUGGGUUGCUCGUUUGCGGAAGGGGGGUGAAUAACGCGUGUAUCCUGCCCUUGUAUUUGGGGUAUAUCCUGGAAAAUGGGGAGAUAACCGGAUAGGAUAUCUUGCGCCGCGGUGGGGGUUGGUAAGUUCGGGCGGUGGGGUAUGGAAUCGCGGCUUACCCGCUGGUUGGGGGGGUAGUGGCGUUCAAGGCCUUUGAAGGGUAGCCGGCCUGGGAGGGUGGCCGGCGACAUGGGGACUGAGAGACGGCCCAGACGCCUACGGGAGGCAGCAGUGGGGAAUAUGGCACAAUGGGCGGAAGCCUGAUGCAGCAACGCCGCGUGCGGGAUGACGGCCUUCGGGUUGUAAACCGCUUUCGCCUGUGACGAAGCGUGAGUGACGGUAAUGGGUAAAGAAGCACCGGCUAACUACGUG
rnacentral:rRNA from 1 species